rnacentral:lncRNA from 1 species
UGCAGCUUCUCUGGCGAUGGCAAACAACUGGAAACAAACCCAGAUGUCCAUCAAGAAUGGCUUUGUUAAAUAAAGCAUGGAACCUCCAAGCUACUGUGAAGCAACACAAAGAUUAAGAAGCUCUCCGUGUUUGGAUAUGCACAAAGUUCUAGGACAUUUUAUUACCAAUGGAAACGGAUCUUCAGACGUCCCAGAAAUACCAAGUGGAACCUCUCUCAUGGGAAGUAACACUGUUGAAUGUUUCUCAGUCAUCAGAAAAG